rnacentral:rRNA from 1 species
CCUACGGGGGACAGCAGUGGGGAAUAUUGCACAAUGGGGGAAACCCUGAUGCAGCGACGCCGCGUGAGUGAUGAAGUAUCUCGGUACGUAAAGCUCUAUCAGCAGGGAAGAAAAUGACGGUACCUGCCUAAGCAGCCCCGGCUAACUACGUGCCAGCAGCCGCGGUAAUACGUAGGGGGCAGGCGUUAUCCGGAUUUACUGGGGGGAAAGGGAGCGUAGACGGCAGCACAAGUCUGGAGUGAAAUCCCGGGGCUUAACCCCGGAACUGCUUUGGAAACUGUGCGGCUGGAGUGCAGGAGGGGUAAGCGGAAUUCCUAGUGUAGCGGUGAAAUGCGUAGAUAUUAGGAGGAACACCGGUGGCGAAGGCGGCUUACUGGACUGUAACUGACGUUGAGGCUCGAAAGCGUGGGGAGCAAACAGGAUUAGAUACCCUGGUAGUC